AGCAAAAGAUUCUUGCCUCGUAUUCCAGCAUGGCCUUGCCCCAAAGAAAAUGAACUUCAAGUAGCAACUUAUUUGGCUGCUCUGCAAAACAAGAUUGAGCAGACUUAUACAGAACCCAGAUUGGUGCCAAACAGACCAAAGGAAGCUCAAGCAAACGAAGAUGAACAAAUAGAAAUUAUCAGUUGUAAGUAAAUAACAUUAAAAGUCUUUAAAUUAUGUAUUAAUAUUAUGUUAACCAAGAGAUUUUUUUAUAUCUUUUUGAU
rnacentral:lncRNA from 1 species